CGGAUUAGCCCAAACCAAUAAAGUUUUCUUUAUUGGGGUUGCGGACAUAUCAUAACGAAGAGGUAUCGUAAUUGAAGAGGUUUGGAAAGACCCACCACAGAAGGUAAUAGUCCUGUAUGUUAAACGAGAAGACUUCAGAUAUGAUCCAGAGUACCACGGGACACGUGAAACCCGGUGGGAAGCAGGAGGGACCACCCUCCAAGGCUAAAUACUACCUAGUGACCGAUAGCGUAUAGUACCGUGAGGGAAAGGUGAAAAGAACC
rnacentral:rRNA from 1 species